rnacentral:rRNA from 1 species
UACGGGGGGGGCAAGCGUUGUUCGGAAUUACUGGGCGUAAAGGGCUCGUAGGCGGCCAACUAAGUCAGACGUGAAAUCCCUCGGCUUAACCGGGGAACUGCGUCUGAUACUGGAUGGCUUGAAUCCGGGAGAGGGAUGCGGAAUUCCAGGUGUAGAGGUGAAAUUCGUAGAUAUCGAGAGGAACACCGGUGGCGAAGGCGGCCUUCUGGACAGUGACUGACGCUGAGACGCGAAAGCGUGGGGAGCAAACAGG